rfam:Gossypium raimondii Chr02_contig_658, whole genome shotgun sequence.
UAUUAUAAAUUUCAUUCAUUUGUAUUGUUUAAAACUCGCGUGGUUGAUAAAAUAAUCAUACAUUGACAUGUGACGUGCCACAUGCAGCUCAUACUGACAUACAAGGAUCAAUUUUAAAUUACUGAAAUGAAUGAUUUUUUUAACA